AUCAUUGUAAUAUAGUGGUAAGUAUUCUUGCCUGUCAUGCAAGUGACCCAGAUUUGAUUCCCAGCAAUGGCA
rnacentral:tRNA from 1 species